AGACCCGAAACCCGGUGAUCUAGCCAUGGGCAGGUUGAAGGUUGGGUAACACUAACUGGAGGACCGAACCGACUAAUGUUGAAAAAUUAGCGGAUGACCUGUGGCUGGGGGUGAAAGGCCAAUCAAACCGGGAGAUAGCUGGUUCUCCCCGAAAGCUAUUUAGGUAGCGCCUCGUGAACUCAUCUCCGGGGGUAGAGCACUGUUUCGGCUAGGGGGCCAUCCCGGCUUACCAACCCGAUGCAAACUGCGAAUACCGGAGAAUGUUAUCACGGGAGACACACGGCGGGUGCUAACGUCCGUCGUGAAGAGGGAAACAACCCAGACCGCCAGCUAAGGUCCCAAAGUCAUGGUUAAGUGGGAAACGAUGUGGGAAGGCCCAGACAGCCAGGAUGUUGGCUUAGAAGCAGCCAUCAUUUAAAGAAAGCGUAAUAGCUCACUGGUCGAGUCGGCCUGCGCGGAAGAUGUAACGGGGCUAAACCAUGCACCGAAGCUGCGGCAGCGACACUUUAGUGUUGUUGGGUAGGGGAGCGUUCUGUAAGCCGUUGAAGGUGUCCUGUGAGGGGUGCUGGAGGUAUCAGAAGUGCGAAUGCUGACAUAAGUAACGAUAAAGCGGGUGAAAAGCCCGCUCGCCGGAAGACCAAGGGUUCCUGUCCAACGUUAAUCGGGGCAGGGUGAGUCGACCCCUAAGGCGAGGCCGAAAGGCGUAGUCGAUGGGAAACGGGUUAAUAUUCCCGUACUUGGUGUUACUGCGAAGGGGGGACGGAGAAGGCUAUGUUGGCCGGGCGACGGUAGUCCCGGUUUAAGCGUGUAGGUGUGUGUUCCAGGCAAAUCCGGUUCACUUUAACACUGAGGCGUGAUGACGAGGCACCACGGUGCUGAAGCAACAAAUGCCCUGCUUCCAGGAAAAGCCUCUAAGCAUCAGGUAACAUCAAAUCGUACCCCAAACCGACACAGGUGGUCAGGUAGAGAAUACCAAGGCGCUUGAGAGAACUCGGGUGAAGGAACUAGGCAAAAUGGUGCCGUAACUUCGGGAGAAGGCACGCUGACAC
rnacentral:rRNA from 1 species